ACCCCCUCGGCCCGCGCUGCGCCAGCACCACCUGCGGAGCUGCGGUGCCCACGCCGUGCCGCGACCCCGCCGCCCCUGCUCCCUCCACACGCGGGCAAACAAAACAAGUUGCCGGUCGCUGCCGCCGGAGGGGGCCGGGCGGGUCACUCACCCUCAUCCUGCUCAGCGGGCUUGGGUCGUCCGGCCGCGGGGUCAGGGAAGACCAGAGGACCACUAGCCCCAGGAAGCUUCCCACCACCAGCAAACUGCGUGGUGAAUUUGUAACCGAAAGGCCCAGGUGAGAUGUGCAAAUAUCACUGGAUUGGAGGAGCUCACUUGGAAAGCCAGUAUUCCUCCUGAGCUAAUGAAAAGAAAGGCUGUCGUCUUAUGCCAAAAGCAAUACCAACCUUGUUCACGGGCUGAGAUCUAGAGUGUGUAAUUCACGAAGUAUGAAUCUGCUGGGUAAUGUGAUAUGAAAAGCGAAUGCACCAUUUCUUGGUGAUGAUUCAGGUCAGCGUUGGGACCCAGGAAUCUCCUGUUAAUCAGUACCCUGGUGAUUUUGAUCCAGGUCAUCAAGACCAUGGCUUCCAUCGUAGGCAGUCACACUCUUUCUCUCUUGGAUCAUUUGCUGUGGGGAAGCAAACUGUCAUAUGAGAGGACACUCAAACAGCCUCUGGAGUCUCAUUUGCUAAGGAACUGAGGACUCCAGCCUGAGAACUCAGGCAAGUAACUGAGGCCUGCCAACAACCAUGGAGAAAGCCUGGAAGUGGAUCCUCCCUCAGCCUUCAGUCGAGACAACAGCUGCAAUGACAGCCAAGCCAGCGCCACCCAGCUUAGCCACCCCCAGAGAACUAACUCUCAGAAACCAUGUAAGAUAAUACAUGUUUGUUGUUUUAAGCUGCUAAGUUUUGGGGUAAUUUAUUAUACAAUAGAUAAUUAAAACACAUAGCAUAUAAAUAAAAUCAAUAAAACCAGUAUGGGUCAGUAAUGAGUAAAUUAGAUAAUUAGACAAAUUUUGACAUUUCUGUUUCUAUGUUAAUUAUUUUUCUUCAGAAAAAUUCUCUACGGGUAAAAUAUGUUAAGAGUGGUUACCAACGGACAUUUUAAAAUUAAUAAUCAGUUUGGGAGGCCAAGGCGGUUGGAUUGCUUUAACUCAGGAGUUUGAGGCCAACCUGGGCAACAUGACAAAACCCUGUCUCUACAAAAAAUACAAAAAUUAGCCAGGCAUGGUCGUGUGUGCCUGUAGUCCCAGCUACUUGGGAAGCUGAGGUGGGAGGAUCAAUUGAGCCUGGGAGGCCAGGCUGCAGUGAGUCAAAAUCAUACCAUCUCAAUCCAGCCUGAGCAACAGAGUGAGACCCUAUCUAAAAUAUAUACAUGUAUAUUAACAAUUAUCUCUUGAAACUAAAGUAUAAUCACAGUACUAGUGUACUAUUUUCCAUUUUAUUAAAUGCACUAAACAGUAUUGCAAUGUGUUUGUGUUUAUUAAAAAAUAUUUUGGAAAUCUUUGGGAGAAAAGCUACUUCAAAUUAGUCUGAAAACUAUCAUUUCCUUCUAGCAAUGUGUAAUAAUGUAAUGACUGCUUAGAAUUUCCUGAGAGGGACUGUAACAUAUAUUUUAAGCAUAAUAUUGUAAACAAACAAGUUCUUUUGCAGUACUUGAAGAUCUUUUUUUGUGACUAUCCCCCUUAUAUAUUAUGAAGAUACAUUUUUUGUGACUAUCCUCUUUAUAUGUAUUGUGAAGAUAAGGUUUUUUAUAGUGAAUAUCCUCCUAAUGCUACUAGUAUUGUUUGCAAUCUGUCAUUAUUCUUAGUGUAAAAUUAAACUUCAACAGAGUACCUGUGUGAA
rnacentral:lncRNA from 1 species